AAUAUGUUGUGUUCUCACGCUUGAGAGCUACAGUUCUACACCCCUAUUUGCAAUCACGCAUCGCCUGGUUUUGCCGACUGUGCGAGUUCUGAAACCUAAUGCAUGACAUUUGUGGUCUGAUUCACCAAUAGUAAGAGGCUUUGUUCUCUCCGCAGGGUCCUUCCUCUAUACCUAACCUUGGCACUGACUUCAAUCUCCCUCCUUCCACCAGCAAACAUGUCCCAGGUACUUUUUGCCACAACUCCAGCUACAGCAUCCUCCAACCAUCAUCUCCUUGUCAUGUGCAUGCAACCAUUGGUCAGAACUGGUGGAACUAGGUAGGUGUGCAAGUGGGCCAGGCGUGGUUGGGGAAUCAAAUUAAGCCAAAGCCUGGCCUGGUUCAUUUUUAAAGUUGAGUCCGCAAUCGGCCUGAGGUGGUUUACCCCUAGAACCAGGUGUCAUGAAAUCAGUCUUCAUCAGAUGAGAGCAGCCGCAUCAUUUCAUCCAUAUUAAGUGCAGUAAAAGUCUCUUGACACCACCUCU